CCUACGGAGGGCUGCAGUGAGGAAUAUUGGUCAAUGGGCGCGAGCCUGAACCAGCCAAGUAGCGUGAAGGAUGACUGCCCUACGGGUUGUAAACUUCUUUUAUAAAGGACUAAAGUGAGGCACGUGUGCCUUUUUGUCUGUACUUUAUUAAUAAUGAUCGGCUCACUCCAUUCCAGCAGCCGCGGUAAUACGGAGGAUCCGAGCGUUAUCCGGAUUUAUUGGGUUUAAAGGGAGCGUAGAUGGGUUGUUAAGUCAGUUGUGAAAGUUUGCGGCGCAACCGUAAAAUUGCAAUUGAUAAUGGCAGUCUUGAGUACAGUUGAGGUAGGCGGAAUUCGUGGUGUAGCGGUGAAAUGCGUAGAUAUAACGAAGAACUCCGAUUGCGAAGGCAGCUUACUAAACUGCCACUGACAUUGAUGCUCGAAAGUGUGGGUAUCAAACAGGAUUAGAUACCCCAGUAGUC
rnacentral:rRNA from 1 species